rnacentral:rRNA from 1 species
GGAAUUUUGGACAAUGGGCGCAAGCCUGAUCCAGCCAUGCCGCGUGAGUGAAGAAGGCCUUCGGGUUGUAAAGCUCUUUCGGCGGGGAAGAAACGGUACGUGCUAAUACCACGUACUAAUGACGGUACCCGCCGAAGACGCCCCGGCUAACUACGUGCCCGCAGCCGCGGUAAUACGUAGGGUGCAGGCGUUAAUCGGAAUUACUGGGCGUAAAGCGUGCGCAGGCGGUUUGUUAAGACAGGUGUGAAAUCCCCGGGCUUAACCUGGGAAUUGCGCUUGUUACUGGCAGACUGGAGUGUGGCAGAGGGGGGUGGAAUUCCAAGUGUAGCAGUGAAAUGCGUAGAUAUUUGGAGGAACACCGAUGGCGAAGGCAGCCCCCUGGGCUAACACUGACGCUCAUGCACGAAAGCGUGGGGAGCAA